AGGAUCAGAAUUACAUUUCCUGUUAGUCCUAAGCACAUACAAAUUUAAGAAUCAUAUAACUUGUUUUACAUUGCAAAAUUCCUCAGACAUUAUAUCUGAUCUUUGCCAAAACCAUACUAAUUUGUAGGUACCUCUUGAACAAUGAAUCAGAAUACAAAAAAAACCAAGAAAAUGGAAAUGUUAUUUCAUUAUGCAAUUUCCUUUGAAUUUAUGUUCUCUGAACAGAAUGAUUUGACAGGUUAAUUAACUUGUCUUUUCUCCUAUCCAGGCUCUUCGCCAUUCAAAUCCUCCCUACACAGUGAAGCAUUAUCCAUCUCUGGUACUGGCAAGGGCAAAACUCAGACUUUUGUUGAUGGCAUCUGGAUGCAAUCGUCUUUGAGUACAUCAGCUUGUUGCAGGAUAACACAGAGCACUAUCAUUGACUCUCAUCGUGGCAAAGCAGAUGUUCCUUGGCCUUGUGCAAGCCCCACCUGCACCACUCUGGAUGUCCCUGACUGCAAGACACACAGUCAAGAGGUCCUAAUGUCAGUCACUUGUGCUCUCUAAAAGUGUAGUGCCUCUUUUUCUUUGUCUGCUUUAGACUGUCACGUUAAGGGGAAACAGUGUAUGAAUGCCAAAUAAAAGAAAAGCAACUAAAAUUGGUAGACAUGCCUUUUUUAGCUUCAGAGAAGUCAGCAUUUAAUCCAGACAUUUAGUGCCUUGGUUUUUAUUCAAAAUUUAAGACAGACUUUUACACAGAUAAAUGAUUGCACUGACAAGACCCUCUGGGACACUAAACCAUUAUUUAUAAUUACUGUUCAAGUGUGUUUUUGAAAUUGAAGGUCUGCAUGUACCUGCCAAAAAACUAUUUUCAAAGAACUUUACUUUAUUAAUUACACUCAUGUUUGUGUAUUAAAGAAAUCAUACAGAAUACUUAAAUUAUAAAUAAAAAUGGGAUUGGAAAUACCAGGUAAAAAAUGGUUGAUUUUCCUAAAUUUGAAUAAAGUAAAAUGAGAAAUUUAAUCAGGAAAGAGAUUAUUGUGUAGGUCAUUUUUAUAACCCUUUUUAUUUGUGGAAAAGAAAAGCAGUUUAUCUUUUUAGUUAUAUAAUUGCUGUUUAAAUCAUUUCUUUCUACGAAAUUCCAUGUUUAUGUUAAAUCAAAAGAUAAAAAUGUUAGUGCCCUCUGUAAGGGGGAACUGAAAAGAAAGAAAAAUGAGUUAGAAAUUCAAGAAAUGAAAAGUUCUUCAAUUUAAAAUUUAGCCUUAGAAUAUUAAUACAUUUAUUGGAUUAUCUCAAAUGUUAAAAAUUGAAACAUUUUCCUAUUGGAUAAAUGUUUUGAUAAAGUUAUAACAUGGUGAGCUUGAGUGGGA
rnacentral:lncRNA from 1 species